rnacentral:rRNA from 1 species
ACUCAUCCGAGGCCCCGUAAUCGGAAUGAGUACACUUUAAAUCCUUUAACAAGGAUCCAUUGGAGGGCAAGUCUGGUGCCAGCAGCCGCGGUAAUUCCAGCUCCAAUAGCGUAUAUUAAAGUUGUUGCGGUUAAAAAGCUCGUAGUUGAAUCUGUGUGCCACACUGUUGGUUCACCGCUCGCGGUGUUAACUGGCAUGUAUGUGGGACGUCCUACCGGUGGACUUAGCAGAGAGCAAUCUCUGCGGUCCAAAUAGCAAUCCCAUCGCGGUGCUCUUUAUCGAGUGUCGAGGUGGGCCGGUACAUUUACUUUGAACAAAUUUGAGUGCUUAAAGCAGGCUAUUUUUGCCUGAAAACUGGUGCAUGGAAUAAUAAAAUAGGAUUUCGGUUCUAUUUUGUUGGUUUUAAGAACCACGAAAUAAUGAUUGAUAGGGACAGAUGGGGGCAUUCGUAUUGCGACGUUAGAGGUGAAAUUCUUGGAUCGUCGCAAGACGGACUAAAGCGAAAGCAUUUGCCAAAAAUGUUUUCAUUAAUCAAGAACGAAAGUUAGAGGUUCGAAGGCGAUCAGAUACCGCCCUAGUUCUAACCAUAAACGAUGCCAGCUAGCGAUCCGCCGAAGUUCCUCCGAUGACUCGGCGGGCAGCUUCCGGGAAACCAAAGCUUUUGGGUUCCGGGGGAAGUAUGGUUGCAAAGCUGAAACUUAAAGGAAU